GACGAACGCUGGCGGCGUGCUUAACACAUGCAAGUCGAACGGAAAGGCCCUGCUUUUGUGGGGUGCUCGAGUGGCGAACGGGUGAGUAACACGUGAGUAACCUGCCCUUGACUUUGGGAUAACUUCAGGAAACUGGGGCUAAUACCGGAUAGGAGCUCCUGCUGCAUGGUGGGGGUUGGAAAGUUUCGGCGGUGGGGGAUGGACUCGCGGCUUAUCAGCUUGUUGGUGGGGUAGUGGCUUACCAAGGCUUUGACGGGUAGCCGGCCUGAGAGGGUGACCGGCCACAUUGGGACUGAGAUACGGCCCAGACUCCCACGGGAGGCAGCAGUGGGGAAUAUUGCACAAUGGGCGGAAGCCUGAUGCAGCAACGCCGCGUGCGGGAUGACGGCCUUCGGGUUGUAAACCGCUUUCGCCUGUGACGAAGCGUGAGUGACGGUAAUGGGUAAAGAAGCACCGGCUAACUACGUGCCAGCCGCCGCAGUAACAC
rnacentral:rRNA from 1 species